GGUAGUAGCGGCGAGCGAACCUGGAUUAGCCCUUAAGCACUCGGUGAAGUAGGUGAACAAGCUGGAAAGCUUGGCGAUACAGGGUGAUAGCCCCGUAACCGACGCUUCAUCGAGCGUGAAAUCGAGUAGGGCGGGACACGUGAUAUCCUGUCUGAAUAUGGGGGGACCAUCCUCCAAGGCUAAAUACUCCUGACUGACCGAUAGUGAACCAGUACCGUGAGGGAAAGGCGAAAAGAACCCCUGUGAGGGGAGUGAAAUAGAACCUGAAACCGUGUACGUACAAGCAGUAGGAGCACCUUCGUGGUGUGACUGCGUACCUUUUGUAUAAUGGGUCAGCGACUUAUAUUCAGUGGCAAGGUUAACCGUAUAGGGGAGCCGUAGCGAAAGCGAGUCUUAACUGGGCGCUCAGUCUCUGGAUAUAGACCCGAAACCGGGUGAUCUAGCCAUGGGCAGGUUGAAGGUUGAGUAACAUCAACUGGAGGACCGAACCGACUAAUGUUGAAAAAUUAGCGGAUGACUUGUGGCUAGGGGUGAAAGGCCAAUCAAACUCGGAGAUAGCUGGUUCUCCCCGAAAGCUAUUUAGGUAGCGCCUCGGACGAAUACUACUGGGGGUAGAGCACUGUUAAGGCUAGGGGGUCAUCCCGACUUACCAACCCUUUGCAAACUCCGAAUACCAGUAAGUACUAUCCGGGAGACACACGGCGGGUGCUAACGUCCGUCGUGGAGAGGGAAACAACCCAGACCGCCAGCUAAGGUCCCAAAGUAUUGCUAAGUGGGAAACGAUGUGGGAAGGCUCAGACAGCUAGGAUGUUGGCUUAGAAGCAGCCAUCAUUUAAAGAAAGCGUAAUAGCUCACUAGUCGAGUCGGCCUGCGCGGAAGAUGUAACGGGGCUAAGCAAUACACCGAAGCUGCGGCAAUAUCUUUUAGAUAUUGGGUAGGGGAGCGUUCUGUAAGCCGUUGAAGGUGAAUCGUAAGGUUUGCUGGAGGUAUCAGAAGUGCGAAUGCUGACAUGAGUAACGACAAAGGGGGUGAAAAACCUCCUCGCCGGAAGACCAAGGGUUCCUGUCCAACGUUAAUCGGGGCAGGGUGAGUCGACCCCUAAGGUGAGGCCGAAAGGCGUAAUCGAUGGGAAACGGGUUAAUAUUCCCGUACUUCUGACUAUUGCGAUGGGGGGACGGAGAAGGCUAGGUGGGCCAGGCGACGGUUGUCCUGGUUCAAGUGCGUAGGCUUGAGAGUUAGGUAAAUCCGGCUCUCUCUAAGGCUGAGACACGACGUCGAGCUGCUACGGCAGUGAAGUCAUUGAUGCCAUGCUUCCAGGAAAAGCCUCUAAGCUUCAGAUAGUCAGGAAUCGUACCCCAAACCGACACAGGUGGUCGGGUAGAGAAUACCAAGGCGCUUGAGAGAACUCGGGUGAAGGAACUAGGCAAAAUGGUACCGUAACUUCGGGAGAAGGUACGCUCUUGAUGGUGAAGUCCCUCGCGGAUGGAGCUGACGAGAGUCGCAGAUACCAGGUGGCUGCAACUGUUUAUUAAAAACACAGCACUGUGCAAAAUCGCAAGAUGACGUAUACGGUGUGACGCCUGCCCGGUGCCGGAAGGUUAAUUGAUGGGGUUAGCGCAAGCGAAGCUCUUGAUCGAAGCCCCGGUAAACGGCGGCCGUAACUAUAACGGUCCUAAGGUAGCGAAAUUCCUUGUCGGGUAAGUUCCGACCUGCACGAAUGGCGUAAUGAUGGCCACGCUGUCUCCACCCGAGACUCAGUGAAAUUGAAAUCGCUGUGAAGAUGCAGUGUACCCGCGGCUAGACGGAAAGACCCCGUGAACCUUUACUACAGCUUGGCACUGAACAUUGAACCUACAUGUGUAGGAUAGGUGGGAGGCUAUGAAGACGUGACGCCAGUUGCGUUGGAGCCGUCCUUGAAAUACCACCCUUGUAUGUUUGAUGUUCUAACUUAGACCCAUUAUCUGGGUUGAGGACAGUGCCUGGUGGGUAGUUUGACUGGGGCGGUCUCCUCCCAAAGAGUAACGGAGGAGCACGAAGGUGGGCUAAUCACGGUUGGACAUCGUGAGGUUAGUGCAAUGGCAUAAGCCCGCUUAACUGCGAGAAUGACGGUUCGAGCAGGUGCGAAAGCAGGUCAUAGUGAUCCGGUGGUUCUGUAUGGAAGGGCCAUCGCUCAACGGAUAAAAGGUACUCCGGGGAUAACAGGCUGAUACCGCCCAAGAGUUCAUAUCGACGGCGGUGUUUGGCACCUCGAUGUCGGCUCAUCACAUCCUGGGGCUGAAGUCGGUCCCAAGGGUAUGGCUGUUCGCCAUUUAAAGUGGUACGCGAGCUGGGUUUAGAACGUCGUGAGACAGUUCGGUCCCUAUCUGCCGUGGGCGUUGGAAGAUUGAAGGGGGCUGCUCCUAGUACGAGAGGACCGGAGUGGACGAACCUCUGGUGUUCGGGUUGUGUCGCCAGACGCAUUGCCCGGUAGCUAAGUUCGGAAUUGAUAAGCGCUGAAAGCAUCUAAGCGCGAAGCGAGCCCUGAGAUGAGUCUUCCCUGA
rnacentral:rRNA from 1 species